rnacentral:rRNA from 1 species
ACGAACGCUGGCGGCGUGCUUAACACAUGCCAGUCGAACGGUGAAGCGCCUUCCUUUUUGGUGGGUGUGGAUGAGUGGCGAACGGGUGAGUAACACGUGAGUAACCUGCCCCCUUCUUCUGGAUAACCGCAUGAAAGUGUGGCUAAUACGGGAUAUUCUGGGUCUGUCGCAUGAUGGGUCUGGGAAAGAUAUUGUUUCGGUGGGGGAUGGGCUCGCGGCCUAUCAGCUUGUUGGUGGGGUGAUGGCCUACCAAGGCGGUGACGGGUAGCCGGCCUGAGAGGGUGGACGGUCACACUGGGACUGAGACACGGCCCAGACUCCUACGGGAGGCAGCAGUGGGGAAUAUUGCACAAUGGGCGCAAGCCUGAUGCAGCGACGCCGCGUGAGGGAUGGAGGCCGUCGGGUUGUGAACCUCUUUCGCCAGUGAAGCAGGCCUGCCUCGUUUGUGGGUGGGUUGACGGUAGCUGGAUAAGAAGCGCCGGCUAACUACGU